UACAGAGGGGGCUAGCGUUGUUCGGAAUUACUGGGCGUAAAGGGCGCGUAGGUGGCCUGUUAAAUCGAACGUGAAAUCCCCGGGCUCAACCCGGGAACUGCGUCCGAGACUGGCAGGCUCGAAUCCGGGAGAGGGAUGUGGAAUUCCAGGUGUAGCGGUGAAAUGCGUAGAUAUCUGGAGGAACACCGGUGGCGAAGGCGGCAUCCUGGACCGGUAUUGACGCUGAGGCGCGAAAGCCAGGGGAGCAAACGGG
rnacentral:rRNA from 1 species